CUAAGAAUAUUCCGCAAUGGACGAAAGUCUGACGGAGCGACGCCGCGUGGAUGAUGAAGGCCGAAAGGUUGUAAAGUCCUUUUGCUGGGGAAGAAUAAGCAUGGGAGGUAAUGCCCGUGCGAUGACAUGAACCGGCGAAUAAGCCCCGGCUAACUACGUGCCAGCAGCCGCGGUAACACGUAGGGGGCGAGCGUUGUUCGGAAUUACUGGGCGUAAAGGGCAUGUAGGCGGCUUGGUAAGCCUGGCGUGAAAGUCACCGGCUCAACCGGUGGAUUGCGUUGGGUACUGCUGAGCUUGAAUCACGGAGAGGGAGCUAGAAUUCCAGGUGUAGGGGUGAAAUCUGUAGAGAUCUGGAAGAAUACCAGUGGCGAAGGCGAGCUCCUGGCCGAUGAUUGACGCUGAGGUGCGAAAGUGUGGGGAUCAAACAG
rnacentral:rRNA from 1 species